rnacentral:rRNA from 1 species
GAUGAACGCUGGCGGCGUGCCUAAUACAUGCAAGUCGAGCGAAUGGAUUGAGAGCUUGCUCUUAUGAAGUUAGCGGCGGACGGGUGAGUAACACGUGGGUAACCUGCCCAUAAGACUGGGAUAACUCCGGGAAACCGGGGCUAAUACCGGAUAACAUUUUGAACCGCAUGGUUCGAAAUUGAAAGGCGGCUUCGGCUGUCACUUAUGGAUGGACCCGCGUCGCAUUAGCUAGUUGGUGAGGUAACGGCUCACCAAGGCAACGAUGCGGAGCCGACUUGGGAGGGUGAUCGGCCACACUGGGACUGAGACACGGCCCAGAGUCCUACGGGAGGCAGCAGUAGGGAAUCUUCCGCAAUGGACGAAAGUCUGACGGAGCAACGCCGCGUGAGUGAUGAAGGCUUUCGGGUCGUAAAACUCUGUUGUUAGGGAAGAACAAGUGCUAGUUGAAUAAGCUGGCACCUUGACGGUACCUAACCAGAAAGCCACGGCUAACUACGUGCCAGCAGCCGCAGUAA